rnacentral:rRNA from 1 species
UACAGAGGUGGCAAGCGUUAUUCGGAUUUAUUGGGCGUAAAGGGUGCGUAGGCGGGUCUUUAAGUCAGGGGUGAAAUCCUGGAGCUCAACUCCAGAACUGCCUUUGAUACUGAGGAUCUUGAGUUCGGGAGAGGUGAGUGGAACUGCGAGUGUAGAGGUGAAAUUCGUAGAUAUUCGCAAGAACACCAGUGGCGAAGGCGGCUCACUGGCCCGAUACUGACGCUGAGGCACGAAAGCGUGGGGAGCAAACAGG